GUUGAGCGCUGAAGGUUGGUACUUGUACCGACUGGAUGAGCAGCGAAUUGGUGAGUAACGCGUGGGGAAUCUGCCUUUGAGCGGGGGACAACAUUUGGAAACGAAUGCUAAUACCGCAUAAAAACUUUAAACACAAGUUUUAAGUUUGAAAGAUGCAAUUGCAUCACUCAAAGAUGAUCCCGCGUUGUAUUAGCUAGUUGGUGAGGUAAAGGCUCACCAAGGCGAUGAUACAUAGCCGACCUGAGAGGGUGAUCGGCCACAUUGGGACUGAGACACGGCCCAAACUCCUACGGGAGGCAGCAGUAGGGAAUCUUCGGCAAUGGACGAAAGUCUGACCGAGCAACGCCGCGUGAGUGAAGAAGGUUUUCGGAUCGUAAAACUCUGUUGGUAGAGAAGAACGUUGGUGAGAGUGGAAAGCUCAUCAAGUGACGGUAACUACCCAGAAAGGGACGGCUAACUACGUGCCAGCAGCCGCGGUAAUACGUAGGUCCCGAGCGUUGUCCGGAUUUAUUGGGCGUAAAGCGAGCGCAGGUGGUUUAUUAAGUCUGGUGUAAAAGGCAGUGGCUCAACCAUUGUAUGCAUUGGAAACUGGUAGACUUGAGUGCAGGAGAGGAGAGUGGAAUUCCAUGUGUAGCGGUGAAAUGCGUAGAUAUAUGGAGGAACACCGGUGGCGAAGGCGGCUCUCUGGCCUGUAACUGACACUGAGGCUCGA
rnacentral:rRNA from 1 species